rnacentral:rRNA from 1 species
CCUACGGGGGGCAGCAGUGAGGAAUAUUGGUCAAUGGUCGGGAGACUGAACCAGCCAAGCCGCGUGAGGGAUGAAGGUACAGAGUAUCGUAAACCUCUUUUGUCAGGGAACAAAGGCGGGGACGUGUCCCCGGAUGAGUGUACCUGAAGAAAAAGCAUCGGCUAACUCCGUGCCAGCAGCCGCGGUAAUACGGAGGAUGCGAGCGUUAUCCGGAUUUAUUGGGUUUAAAGGGUGCGCAGGCGGUCUGUUAAGUCAGCGGUCAAAGCCCGGGGCUCAACCCCGGCCGGCCGUUGAAACUGGCAGUCGCGAGUUGGAGAGAAGUAUGCGGAAUGCGCGGUGUAGCGGUGAAAUGCAUAGAUAUCGCGCAGAACUCCGAUUGCGAAGGCAGCAUGCCGGCUCCACACUGACGCUGAGGCACGAAAGCGUGGGUAUCGAACAGGAUUAGAUACCCUUGUAGUC